AUUGAACGCUGCCGGCAGGCCUAACACCUGCAAGUCGAACGAGUGGCGGACGGGUGAGGAAUGUCUGGGAAACUGCCUGAUGGAGGGGGAUAACUACUGGAAACGGUAGCUAAUACCGCAUACCAUCGGAUGUGCCCAGAUGGGAUUAGCUAGUAGGGGGGGUAAAGGCUAACCUAGGCGACGAUCCCUAGCUGGUCUGAGAGGAUGACCAGCCACACUGGAACUGAGACACGGUCCAGACUCCUACGGGAGGCAGCAGUGGGGAAUAUUGCACAAUGGGCGCAAGCCUGAUGCAGCCAUGCCGCGUGUAUGAAGAAGGCCUUCGGGUUGUAAAGGACUUUCAGCGGGGAGGCGUUACCCGCAGAAGAAGCACGGGCUAACUCCAUGCCAGCAGCCGCGGUAGUUC
rnacentral:rRNA from 1 species